rnacentral:rRNA from 1 species
GGCGAGGUUGCUUCGGUAACUGAGCUAGCGGCGGACGGGUGAGUAAUGCUUAGGAAUCUGCCUAUUAGUGGGGGACAACAUUCCGAAAGGAAUGCUAAUACCGCAUACGCCCUACGGGGGAAAGCAGGGGAUCUUCGGACCUUGCGCUAAUAGAUGAGCCUAAGUCAGAUUAGCUAGUUGGCGGGGUAAAGGCCUACCAAGGCGACGAUCUGUAGCGGGUCUGAGAGGAUGAUCCGCCACACUGGGACUGAGACACGGCCCAGACUCCUACGGGAGGCAGCAGUGGGGAAUAUUGGACAAUGGGCGCAAGCCUGAUCCAGCCAUGCCGCGUGUGUGAAGAAGGCCUUUUGGUUGUAAAGCACUUUAAGCGAGGAGGAGGCUACUUGGAUUAAUACUCUAGGAUAGUGGACGUUACUCGCAGAAUAAGCACCGGCUAACUCUGUGCCAGCAGCCGCGGUAAUACAGAGGGUGCGAGCGUUAAUCGGAUUUACUGGGCGUAAAGCGUGCGUAGGCGGCUUCUUAAGUCGGAUGUGAAAUCCCUGAGCUUAACUUAGGAAUUGCAUUCGAUACUGGGAAGCUAGAGUAUGGGAGAGGAUGCUAGAAUUCCAGGUGUAGCGGUGAAAUGCGUAGAGAUCUGGAGGAAUACCGAUGGCGAAGGCAGCCAUCUGGCCUAAUACUGACGCUGAGGUACGAAAGCAUGGGGAGCAAACAGGAUUAGAUACCCUGGUAGUCCAUGCCGUAAACGAUGUCUACU